UUAAAAAGUGUGACAGAGGUUCUAGUGGUGGAUCUGUCUUUUUAUUCUUCCUUCCAACUGCAGACACAUCCUUCUCAUUCAUGUCAGUCUACCUUAUGCACACUAUUUCUGCACUAAAAUCCCCCCUGCUCUCAUCAUAUCUAUUGCCCUAUUCAAUAUAUUACCACCGCUGUAAACAUUGCCAGAAUAUCAUUCAUGAAAUUCACAGAGAGACAGCUAUAUCUAUUUCAACUUAUGGCCAAAUAUUAGUGCAGUUCCCUUUUGCUUUCUGGGGCAUGUACUAUCCUCCUUUUUCCCUGUUUCAGGAAUGACUAAAAUACACAUCUAACAAUAUAAUGGAUAGAUGCCAAAUUUAGCAGGCUCAAUGAGGCCAAGCAAUUUUGUCACACAUGUUGCUCUCACAGUGUGUAUUUAAUGCAGACCCUGCAUUACAAAAACAAAGAAAAGCAAAGGUCUGAAAUUGAGUAACCAUUAUCAAUCUUCCUAGAGUUCAGCCUUGUCUCAAAUCUCAAUGUUAGGUCAUUUUCAAACUAAGCCACAAAUUUGACCUUGACCAAGGCCAAGAUUCCAUGUCCAAAGGACUCUGGAGGCAGGACUUUGGCAUCAUCGAUCAUGUUCUAAAAUUGCAUCAAGAGUAAAACUCAUAUUAUGUUAUAACUAACAGCUAGCACAUCUAAAAUUUGCCAGCUUUAUUUAUCACUUUUCUCUGCAAUUUCUUUCUUUUCAACCUUGACUCCUAUCUCUAUGUAAGUUUCACAAUUCUUCUGCGCUGUGAUAUGUUUUUCAUAAUAUCAGAAACUGAGACAAAGAAGACAUUUGGCCUCUAUGCUUUUUGAGAUAAUACCAUACCGAAGGAAUGAGAGAACUUGCUAAGUUAACUGACUGGGUAGCUUUCUGUUUUUCUUUUUCUUUCUAUGGACAUUAUUUCAACAGUGAAACCAUUCUGCAAACUGAAUUAUUUUCACACUUUGCGUUGUGUUACUUUCAGCACCUGUAAUAGCCCGCUUUCUGAACCCAUGACCAUUUAAUUACCAUGUGUAUUGGGGUCGUCCGGGGGUAUUUUGGGAAAACUGCAAAUAUUUUGGCAAAAGUCACGUGUUAACCCUACUUUAGUUUUGACACGUUGCUUUACACCGCUCAAACGAACAUCUCAUCUACACUCUGUUUCCUCCCGAUUUGCACAGUCUGCAUUUUCUUAUUCAAAAUUUCCAGCAUUGCUCACCUCCUCUUCCAAUUUCCCUUGUCAUUAUACCUUUUCGAAUCACUUGCUAGUCUUUUUCAUUUUAUUUCUACCUUCUCUUUAAUUUUACUGUUCCUUACACGGAUAAUUGUAUAUCUUUUUUAUUGAUUUUUACUUCUGUCUCUGGUUACUAAGUAUUUAAAUGUAAAUCUAAUUUGUAGAUACUGAAAUACUUACAUAAAGCAAGAGUUAUGAAAUGAAAUAUUCAAGGCACCUUAUCAAGAUAUGAAAAGAUAAGAUAUUAGAUUGAAGAAUUUAGCUUUAGACUGAUAGAAUAAAGUAGCAACUCAGUAAACUUCCACCGUUUCUGAAACUCUCCUCCUACUUCCUCACUCCUUUGUUCUUAUCUUCAAAGCUUUGUGGGUUUCCCGUUUUAAUCUUUGUUUUCCCGUAGUUGUUCUGCUUUUAUAUUCCUCUGUUCAGUACUAUCUUUGUUUCUAGUUGAGGGGGAAAUAAAUCAUAACUUUGGUCAGCUGUUGGGUUUUUCGCUGCUACACCCGUGAACUGGUAUUCUUUCAAUUGGAUUGGUCAAAAGUUACGUUGCCAAUUACUCUAGCUUUACAACAUACCAAAGCCGCUGGGUUCUGUAAAGAGUACAAUCAUUUGCCUGAAGUCAUCUGAUGCUACCUGCACAUACUUGAUCAACAAAAAUAUAAAGUUUCUUCUCAGAGGAAACACAAAGUCUUUCGAGAGUUUGUUCAAUUCUAUGGUAAAUGUUGGUGUUUGCUAUGAUGUUGAUAUUUGUUGAAGAAAUGCUUUUCUGCACUUGUAGAAACUGAAGGUUUACUGGCUUGUAUGAUAAGAGGGAGGAAGGAAACUGUCGGUAUGAGUAGAAUGACUUCUGCUUAAACUCUCAUGUCUUGUUGACUAUAGCAAAUGCUUGUCCUCGCAUUUAUCAGCUGAGAGGACUAAACCUAUAGAAUGUUGUUCAAGCAGUAGGCAGAUAGACUUUGGAAUGAGGAACUACUGGAUAAUGUGACUCGAAGCUGUGAAAAGGGACUGAGCAAGGAAUGACUACUGUCUUUCUGCUGUCUGCUAUUGUUCUUGUAAUAGGUCUUAUGUCCGGGCCAAUCCCAUCUAGUAUAUAUANUUA